CAGCUCCNAAUAGCGUAUAUUUAAGUUGUUGCAGUUAAAAAGCUCGUAGUUGGACUUUGGGAUGGGGCGAGCGGUCCGCCUCUUGGGUGUGCACUGAUCUCUCCAUCCUUUCGGUCGGGGACGCGCUCCUGGACUUAAUUGGCUGGGACGCGGAGUCGACGAUGUUACUUUGAAAAAAUUAGAGUGCUCAAAGCAGGCCUAUGCUCUGAAUACAUUAGCAUGGAAUAACACGAUAGGACUCUGGUCCUAUUUUGUUGGUCUUCGGGACCGGAGUAAUGAUUAAUAGGGACAGUUGGGGGCAUUCGUAUUUCAUUGUCAGAGGUGAAAUUCUUGGAUUUAUGAAAGACGAACUUCUGCGAAAGCAUUUGCCAAGGAUGUUUUCAUUGAUCAAGAACGAAAGUUGGGGGCUCGAAGACGAUCAGAUACCGUCCUAGUCUCAACCAUAAACGAUGCCGACUAGGGAUUGGCGGAUGUUAAUUUGAUGACUCCGCCAGCACCUUAUGAGAAAUCAAAGUUUUUGGGUUCCGGGGGGAGUAUGGUCGCAAGGCUGAAACUUAAAGGAAUUGACGGAAGGGCACCACCAGGUGUGGAGCCUGCGGCUUAAUUUGACUCAACACGGGGAAACUUACCAGGUCCAGACAUAGUAAGGAUUGACAGAUUGAGAGCUCUUUCUUGAUUCUAUGGGUGGUGGUGCAUGGCG
rnacentral:rRNA from 1 species